ACUGUUAAUAGCUCCUGACUGAUUCCUCUUCUGCAACUGUCACUAGUCUAAUACUAUCCUUACCUUUUUGUGUCAUUUUACCCCACUCCCUCUAGCAUGUAAGCUCAUUGAGCAGGGCCCUCAACCCCUCUGUUCCUGUGUGUCCAACUUUUCUGGUUACAACUACAUGUCUGUUCGUCCACCCAUUGUAAAGCGCUGCGGAAUUUGACGGCACUCUAUAAAUAUCAUAAUAAUAAUAAUAAUAAU